UUGAAAUUGCCAUUUGUACUAUGUUGGAAAUCACAGGCAUCUGGCUCAUUUAGUCCAAAUAAUUGUACGUUUACGGAUUUUUUUUUACGUUUUUUGAUAUGGCAAAUCCUUUACGUACAAAUUGUUUAGUAUCAAAGUCACCCUCUGAAGUAUGCUAACCUUCCUGUUACAUAAUUUCAUGGAGAGUGGGACAGCAAAUUUACCAUAUAAGCCAUCCGCCAAGGAAACCUCAAUGCUGUCAAGAGGACCUGGGGGUUCAGGUUUGAAGAACAAAGAGCAGUAUGAUACCAGUGGUGAUGCCGGCUCUGAAUUCCUGGCUUGUUCUGAUGAAAAAUGGCAGAUGAGGCACUGGAAUGCAAUCAAAUAUGCCAUUGUACUGACAACUACAAAGCCAACCUGGAAGGGAAAAUAAGUACAAGACGGAAACAAAGUGGAACAAUAUGUUCAGUGGAACAACUUGAUAUUUGAUGUCUUACAGACGGUACUGAUGUGAAGUUGCAGAUAAUAGUCAACUGUUGGCCCGUGAUUAGUAAAUACAAAAAGUAACAUUUAACCCUUGAUGCCUAAAGCAAUACAUUCCGAAAACUUUACAACCUAGAUAGAGCCAGACUCCUUAAUAAUGCUUGGUAGUGCUACUCAGUGGUAACCCUCUUGCAGUCAACUUUUUUAAAUAUAUUUUUCAGAGUAUUUGAGUGAACUUUACAUUUAAACCGGACACAUAAUUCUUCACUGUGGAACUUUUUUAACUACGUAAAGUGCAUAUUUAUAUAUAUUUAUUCAGAUUUAUCUACACUUAAAACGGUUUUCAUAAGAAGGUAGGAAGAUAACUACAGAAACAGAAACAGAUGGAAUUGGCAGACCAAAUAAAGAAGAAUUUUGUUUAGUUCAAUUUAAAAAAAUUCAGAAAGUCCUAAUAGGGCACAUGCCAUAUUUUAAAUUGGGCUCUUAUAAAUGUGAAGAGGUGAAUGUGGUCUAGUGGAUAAGCCUAGGUGUCAGCCUCAAAUCCAAGGUUGUGGGUUGAAGGUUCAAGCCCCAACGAGAUACUUUCUGAUGGCCUCAGAAAAAGGAUGUCCGUACUAGUUUCUACUAAGGGAACAGACUUGAGAGUGUUUCUGCAAGCGUUUAGCUUGCGUAGCAAUCUAGCUAAAAUGAUUAGGUUUAAAAUAAGAUACUUGCUGACUUUCAAACAGUUUUUUUUCCAUUUGUGUUGAUUUGUUUUUCAGUCUGUUAGAAUAUUUAUUAGAAGUGAUGAGCAUUGCUUACUGCAACUAAUAUUAACUUUCUUAAUUAAGUUGAAUUAAACGCACAUAACAUGACUUGUGAUUUUACUGAUACAUUUUUAGCUCACCAGACACGAUGUGCUCAAGGUGAGCUAUUGUGAUCGGUCUUUGUCUGUCGUCCGUCUGUCACCAAUUGCUUAACAAACAACUGUGAAACUACCUGUCCAAAUUCAAUGAAACUUCACAGGAAGCUCCCUUGGGUGUCCCUCUACAAGAAUACAAGAAGGGGUCACGAUUGAUUAACAACAACAAGAAUAACAGCAACAACAACAAAAUGGCCAACUUCCUAUUUUGCUUUAAAAACAUCUCCUAUAAAUCUACCAGUCCAAAUUCAAUUAAACUUUGAAGAAAGCUUCGUUAAGUGACCCUAUACAAAAAUACACCAACGGUCAUGAUUGAUCAACAACAACAGCAAAAAAGGCCAAAAUGUUAAAAUCUGAUAGUUAUGUAAACUUUUACUCUUGGGCAGCAAGUCUUGCUACAUGUAUAUGGUCUCCCUUUUUGUUGGAGAUUCCACUACUUUCUAUUCUAGUAACAAGGGAAUAGAUUUUAAAUUUUAUUAAGUCUUCAACAUAGUCACUGAAAAGGAAUUAUUGCUCAUUUUUAAGGUUCAUAGAUAAAAUAAUUAUAAUAAACUUUAUUCUUUAGAAGGAACUUCAUUUUUACUUUAUAAUUAAUUUAAUAAUAAGACUUUCCCAUUGAACUUCAUGUAGAUUAAUCUAAGCUACAAUCUUAUCUUCUGUGUGGAUAGUGAAUAAUCCUUUCAGUUUAUGGAUUUAAAGAAAAUUUGGUUUUGAACAUGUGAAGGAAGGUGAUGUUGACAUAGAUUGAAGAAGCAAUGAUAUUAGUGGAAGGUGCUGAAUGUGUUCUGAUAUUUGUUUAUUAGAGCUUAAGGCAGUUUAUUGAUUUUAAUGGAUAGUGCACUGUUUGUUGUUUGUUUAUCUAUUCUAAAAACUCUUUCAGUGUGCAAGCAAUUAAACAUUAUUAGUUUUGUUAGUGUGCAGGCAAUUGAAAGAAGUCCUGUAUGUGUGCAGACAAUUGAACAAAGUCCUGUCAGUGUGCAGACAUGUGAAAAAAGUCCUGUCAGUGUGCAGGUAUCUGUACCAAGUGCUGUCCCUGUGCAGUCAAUUAUCAAGUCCUGUCAGUGUGCAGGCAACUGAACAAAAUCCUGUCAUUGUGCAGAUAUUAGAAUCAAAUUCUGUCAGUGUGCAGUCAAUCAUCAAGUCCUAUCACUGUGCAGGCAACUAAACGGAAUCCUGUCAGUGUGAAGUCAAUCACCAAGUCCUGUCAGUGUGCAGGAAACUGUGACAAGUCCUGUCAGUGUGCAGGCAACUGACAAGUCCUGUCAUUGAUUAUCCAGGCAACAUGUUUGAUCAGUAUCUUUUUUAAUAUUCUUUGAGAACAAAUAUCAAGCUAUAUUGAUUACAAAGGUUAAACUCUUUUAUCCAGGUGAGCAAUUUAGGGCCAAUAUGGCCCUCUUGUUUAAUUCUUCAAAUUAGUCACUUUUAAGGUAAUAAUUGUUUUCUCAUAGGUUAAUAUUAGGAAUUAUUAUAUCUCUUUUUAUUCUAGAAGAAUUUCAUUUUUACUCAAUGAUAAUUUAAAUGAUCAGACUUUUCCAUUGCACUUCAUGUAGACCAUUGUAAGUGUAAAAUCUCAUCUUUUUCGUGGUUUGUGAAUACACCUUAUAUAAACAAGACUGUAACUCACACUCAUAGAUGGGAAGCCAUGCUGUGUUGGAUUAAAAUUGAGACGAUUUUACUGUAGGCUCUUCAUAAGUAUUUUUUAUCAAAACCUCAUAAUUUAUAGAAGUAAUAUAUUUUAUUGGAUGAUGCGCUGUCCUUCGUUCCUAUGUCUUACACAAUUGCUUGUGAAAAUCAAAUUAUGCCUGUGGGGUCAAAACUCGCUUUGCCAUAAGGUUUUCUGUGGACUUUUAGAAAAUCUUCUUGUCUGACACUGCUAGGCCGAGACCUUUAAUAAUUUGUUACGAGCAUUAUGUAGUGGUCCUCUACCAAGAUUGUGAAAAUACGCCCCUUGGGUAAAAUUUGGUCCCACCCUUUUUGACCUACCUGUCUUAUUUUUUGACCAUGUUCACAAUUCUGUAAAUAAGAAUGGGCGUUUUUGUUGGUAAUAAACUGGUUUCAGUUUUAUUUCGGUUACACAAACCGUGUAUUUGUUGUUACAGUUUCAAAUAAAACCAAAACCAGUUUUAUCGUGUUUUUUUAAACAAAAACGGAAACCAGUUUUUGAGUCACUAUCCAAACCCCUACUGGAGGCGGGUUUAUCAGUUCAUUCCAUCCGAAAACUAGUUUGCUUUUAUAACAGCAUGGCAAAAUUGAUCAACCAUGUUUGUUGAAACUCAAUGUUUUUUUUAUAACAAUGCCUUACAAUGGGCAAAUAAGCUAAAUGAAAAAAGUACUAUUAAUAAGUGUGUGUUAAUAUAUCAGUUAGUAUGCUCCGACAUGUUGUUGAAACUGUUCACAAAACACGUUUUUGUUACUUCAAGCAAAAUUAUCAAAACCGGUUUCGAAUCUGCUGAAACCAUUGAUACCAAACUGAAACUGGUUUGGUAUCAACAAAAUCGCCCUAUGUUGUGGUUGGAUGACCUUGAUUGUGACUGCCUACUUUCUUAUUUAUGAAGCUACAGCAAUGAAAUUUGGAUCAUGUGUAAAAACAGAUAUCAAUAUUGUCCUCAGAUGACAUUGAAAGUGACUUUUUGACCUACUUCCUUUUUUUUAAGGUGCAGCAAUAACAUUUUGACCAUGUGUACAGUUUUGAAAAGAAAUAUCAAUGCUGUGAAUUACCUUUAUUGUACCUGUUUUGCAUCUUAUUUUUGAAGCUUCAGUUUUGAUAUUUGAAUCAUAUGUACAGCUUUGAGAACAAAUAUCAAACUAUAUUGAUUACAAAGGUUAAACUCUUUUACUCUGGUGAGCGAUUUAGGGCCAUCAUGGCCCUCAUGUUAUUUCAUUGAUUGUACGGGUGUAUUUUCUAAAAUCAUUAAAUGAUGUAAUAAAAGUUA